UGGGCUUGAUAAACCGGAAUCUGCUUCUUAUUCCAUUAGAGCGGAAUGAGAACUCGUACACCUUUGGCAUGUUUAACACAAACCUGGCCAGUAACCCGGGUUACGAAAAUUGAUUCUCAAUCUUCUUCUCACUCGAUGUACAUUUCUCCUUCAUCGUUUCUUCGUUUCUAUCUAUCAUUCUUGCUGUCCGUCAUCCCGCCUCUCGCCUCUCUCUCUCUCGAGCUCGCCUCUCGCCUCUCUCUCUCUCUCUCUCUCUGAGUCUCUCCUCUCACUCUCUCCCAACAUCUCUCUCCACUCUCCAUUUGCUCGAUAGUCAAGGCUCUUUCCAAGGUGAGAAGGGCUUUGGCUACAAAGGGUCUGCAUUUCAUCGUGUAAUUAUGAAUUUUAUGAUUCAAGGAGGAGAUUUUGACAAGGGAAAUUAAUGGCUCAUUUGGGAGUGACACGGAGAAGCAGAGUAUUGUUGAAGUUUCAAGUUAACAUAAUGAUAAUCAAGUUUUUCGUUAUUUUUGUUCCUUGGUAUUUGAUGGGUAUAACACUAUUGAGUGAUCAUAUUUUCGGAAGAGGACAAGGGAUAGAAUGAUUCAUAGACUAGCUAAUCUAAAUAGCUUGAUAAAAGAUAGUGAUAUUGGAUGUAUAAAUGAACUUCGUAUGAAUAUGUCCACAUUUAAUGUGCUUUGUGAGAUGCUUAGAGAUAUCGGAGAUUCAAGAGAAACUAAAAAGAUGAGCUUAAACGAGACGGUUGCAAUAUUUUUGUACAUUUUAGCUCAUCACAAGAAGAAUAGAACAAUUGGAAAUUAUUUUGUGAGGAGUGGGGAAACAAUAAGUAGACAAUUUAAUCGCUGCCUUCUCUGCAGUUUUACUUUAAAAAUCCUCUCUGUACUUUUAUUUCAACUAGUUCAAAAAUGUGUACUAGUUGCAACUUUGUUAUGCCCCAUCUUAUUUGGUGACUAAUAUUUCAAGAUCAUCUUCAUUGCAGGUGGUCAUGCUGGGUAAUUUUUGUCGGAGCUGUUCUUGCUCCUUUUGAGAAGGAAGAUUCAUGUUUUAAAAAAAUUAACUUCCUAAAGUUGAUGUAACGUCGACUCAAAAAUUUUAUUUUGUGUAAAAAGUUGAUAAGUUUACUUGUUUAUGAUGUUAUUAUGAUUUGUUUUAAAGUUAUGCAAAUAACUAGAAAUUUUAUUUUA